CGUGUCCACCCUCGUCGCCCACACCAAUAUCGCUUGCUGCUGCUUCACUUAGACGUGGCGAUGCAUUGGUGUCCGAGACCCUCCUACAUCGUCAUGCGCUUUCCUCUCCACCAGUCCAACUCCUGUUCAUUCUGUUAAGAAAAUCCAAAAAUAACCUGGGUAUCUUGUGGUCUGAAAGAGAAGAAAUUGAAACUGCACAGGCUUACCUAGAGUCAUCAGAAGCACUAUAUAAUCAGUAUAUGAAAGAGGUUGGGAGUCCUCCUCUUGAUCCUACUGAGCGUUUUCUUCCUGAAGAAGAGAAACUUACUGAACAAGAGAGAUCAAAAAGAUUUGAAAAGGUUUAUACUCAUAACCUAUAUUACCUAGCUCAAGUCUACCAGCAUCUGGAAAUGUUUGAGAAGGCUGCUCACUAUUGCCAUAGUACACUAAAACGCCAGCUUGAGCACAAUGCCUACCAUCCUAUAGAGUGGGCUAUCAAUGCUGCUACCUUGUCACAGUUUUACAUCAAUAAGCUAUGCUUUAUGGAGGCCAGGCACUGUUUAUCAGCUGCUAAUGUCAUUUUUGGUCAAACUGGAAAGAUCUCAGCCACAGAAGACACUCCUGAAGCUGAAGGAGAAGUGCCAGAGCUUUAUCAUCAAAGAAAGGGGGAAAUAGCAAGGUGCUGGAUCAAAUACUGUUUGACUCUCAUGCAGAAUGCCCAACUCUCCAUGCAGGACAACAUAGGAGAGCUUGAUCUUGAUAAACAGUCUGAACUUAGAGCUUUAAGGAAAAAAGAACUAGAUGAGGAGGAAAGCAUUCGGAAAAAAGCUGUGCAGUUUGGAACCGGUGAACUGUGUGAUGCCAUCUCUGCAGUAGAAGAGAAAGUGAGCUACUUGAGACCUUUAGAUUUUGAAGAAGCCAGAGAACUUUUCUUAUUGGGUCAGCACUAUGUCUUUGAGGCAAAAGAGUUCUUUCAGAUUGAUGGUUAUGUCACUGACCAUAUUGAAGUUGUCCAAGACCACAGUGCUCUGUUUAAGGUGCUUGCAUUCUUUGAAACUGACAUGGAGAGACGAUGCAAGAUGCAUAAACGCAGAAUAGCCAUGCUAGAGCCCCUAACUGUAGACCUGAAUCCACAGUAUUAUCUGUUGGUCAACAGACAGAUCCAGUUUGAAAUUGCACAUGCUUACUAUGAUAUGAUGGAUUUGAAGGUUGCCAUUGCUGACAGGCUAAGGGAUCCUGAUUCACACAUUGUAAAAAAAAUAAAUAAUCUUAAUAAGUCAGCACUGAAGUACUACCAGCUCUUCUUAGACUCCCUGAGAGACCCAAAUAAAGUAUUCCCUGAGCAUAUAGGGGAAGAUGUUCUUCGCCCUGCCAUGUUAGCUAAGUUUCGAGUUGCCCGUCUCUAUGGCAAAAUCAUUACUGCAGAUCCCAAGAAAGAGCUGGAAAAUUUGGCAACAUCAUUGGAACAUUACAAAUUUAUUGUUGAUUACUGUGAAAAGCAUCCUGAGGCCGCCCAGGAAAUAGAAGUUGAGCUAGAACUUAGUAAAGAGAUGGUUAGUCUUCUCCCAACAAAAAUGGAGAGAUUCAGAACCAAGAUGGCCCUGACUUAAUCCUUGUUUUUAAAGAGAGGAAAUGUGCAAUAUUGAAGUGAUCUUUUUCCCUAGUCAGACAGGCCCAAUUCCAUUGUGAUGUUUACCUUUAUAGCCAGGUGAGUGCAGUUUGAACUUGAGAUACAGUCAACUGAGUGUUUGCUAGGAUCCUAAGGAACAUAAAGUUAAUUAAAAACUUACACCUAAUUAUGUAAAUUGCCUUGUUAAAGACAUGUGAUUUGUAUUUUAGAUGCUUGUUUCCUAUUAAAAUACAGACAUUUCUACCCUCAGUUUCUAAAUGUAGAUUAUUUGUUGGCUAGUACUUGAUAGAUUCCUUGUAAGAAAAAAUGCUGGGUAAUGUACCUGGUAACAAGCCUGUUAAUAUAUUAAGAUUGAAAAAGUAACUUCUAUAGUUACUCCUUCUAAAAUAUUUGAUUUCCUAAAUUCCCCCCACCCAAAAUCUUUCCCUUUUGAAAAUACUAAAAACUAAGUUAUGUUAUUAUAAAGUGUAAAAUGGUUUGUC
rnacentral:sRNA from 1 species